rnacentral:rRNA from 1 species
CAGUCGCCGCGGUAAAACGGAGGGUGCAAGCGUUAUCCGGAUUUAUUGGGUUUAAAGGGUCCGUAGGCGGACUUAUAAGUCAGUGGUGAAAGCCUGUCGCUUAACGAUAGAACUGCCAUUGAUACUGUAAGUCUUGAGUAUAUUUGAGGUAGCUGGAAUAAGUAGUGUAGCGGUGAAAUGCAUAGAUAUUACUUAGAACACCAAUUGCGAAGGCAGGUUACCAAGAUAUAACUGACGCUGAGGGACGAAAGCGUGGGUAGCGAACAGGAUUAGAUACCCCCGUAGUCCCUGUCUCUUAUAC